UACGUAGGGGGCUAGCGUUAUCCGGAAUUACUGGGCGUAAAGCGCGCGUAGGUGGUUCGUUAAGUUAGGAGUGAAAGCCCCGGGCUCAACCUGGGAAUUGCUUCUAAAACUGGCGAGCUAGAGUAUGGUAGAGGGUGGUGGAAUUUCCUGUGUAGCGGUGAAAUGCGUAGAUAUAGGAAGGAACAUCAGUGGCGAAGGCGGGUAACUGGACUGCAACUGACGCUGAGGCGCGAAAGUGUGGGGAGCAAACAGGAUUAGAUACCCUGGUAGUCCCUGAG
rnacentral:rRNA from 1 species